rnacentral:rRNA from 1 species
AACAAACGCUGGCGGCGUGCCUAAUACAUGCAAGUCGAACGGGGAAAGCUUUCGGGUGAGUACUAGUGGCGCACGGGUGAGUAACGCGUGGAUAAUCUGCCUUAGAGUGGGGGAUAACUAGUCGAAAGAUUAGCUAAUACCGCAUAAGACCACAAGAACUGCGGUUCAAGAGGUCAAAGGUUUUUCGCUCUAAGAUGAGUCCGCGUAAGAUUAGCUAGUUGGUGAGGUAACGGCUCCCCAAGGCAACGAUCUUUAACUGGUCUGAGAGGAUGAUCAGUCACACUGGAACUGAGACCCGGUCCAGACUCCUACGGGAGGCAGCAGUAGGGAAUAUUGCACAAUGGAGGAAACUCUGAUGCAGCGACGCCGCGUGAGUGAUGAAGGCCUUCGGGUCGUAAAGCUCUGUCGCAGGGGAAUAACACAAUGAAUGUACCCUGUAAGAAAGGAUCGGCUAACUUCGUGCCAGCCGCCGCCGUAACAC